CUACCGAAUCUUCUUAAUGGUGCCUCUACUGGCUCCGGAUUUGAUUCACCAAUCGAACCCAAUUCUGUAUGUGUCAGUCCUUCACCAAGGAACUCCUUUUUCAAAAAGACUGUCUGGCUGCUGACAAAUACUUUUUAUUCUGCAGUGAGAUAGAAGUAGUACCUUUUAGUUUUCUUUAGAUACCCUAUGAACAAAUAUUUAUCGGACUUCGGUCCAAGCUUAUCUGUCUUUAAACGUUUGACAUAAGCUGGACACUCCCAAACCCU
rnacentral:lncRNA from 1 species